rnacentral:rRNA from 1 species
GAUGAACGCUGGCGGCGUGCCUAAUACAUGCAAGUCGAGCGAACAGACGAGGAGCUUGCUCCUUCGACGUUAGCGGCGGACGGGUGAGUAACACGUAGGUAACCUACCUAUAAGACUGGGAUAACUUCGGGAAACCGGAGCUAAUACCGGAUAAUAUUUCGAACCGCAUGGUUCGAUAGUGAAAGAUGGCUUUGCUAUCACUUAUAGAUGGACCUGCGCCGUAUUAGCUAGUUGGUAAGGUAACGGCUUACCAAGGCAACGAUACGUAGCCGACCUGAGAGGGUGAUCGGCCACACUGGAACUGAGACACGGUCAGACUCCUACGGGAGGCAGCAGUAGGGAAUCUUCCGCAAUGGGCGAAAGCCUGACGGAGCAACGCCGCGUGAGUGAUGAAGGUCUUCGGAUCGUAAAACUCUGUUAUUAGGGAAGAACAAACGUGUAAGUAACUGUGCACGUCUUGACGGUACCUAAUCAGAAAGCCACGGCUAACUACGUG